rnacentral:rRNA from 1 species
UACGGGGGGGGCAAGCGUUGUUCGGAAUUACUGGGCGUAAAGCGCGCGUAGGCGGCUUUUCAAGUCGGGCGUGAAAGCCCCGGGCUUAACCCGGGAAUGGCGCUCGAUACUGUUGAGCUAGAGUGUGGAAGGGGCUACUGGAAUUCCGUGUGUAGCGGUGAAAUGCGUAGAUAUGCGGAGGAACACCGAUGGCGAAGGCAAUCCCCUGGGCCUGCACUGACGCUCAUGCACGAAAGCGUGGGGAGCAAACAGG